rnacentral:rRNA from 1 species
CGAACGCUGGCGGCGUGCCUAAUACAUGCAAGUCGAGCGGACAGAUGGGAGCUUGCUCCCUGAUGUUAGCGGCGGACGGGUGAGUAACACGUGGGUAACCUGCCUGUAAGACUGGGAUAACUCCGGGAAACCGGGGCUAAUACCGGAUGCUUGUUUGAACCGCAUGGUUCAAACAUAAAAGGUGGCUUCGGCUACCACUUACAGAUGGACCCGCGGCGCAUUAGCUAGUUGGUGAGGUAACGGCUCACCAAGGCGACGAUGCGUAGCCGACCUGAGAGGGUGAUCGGCCACACUGGGACUGAGACACGGCCCAGACUCCUACGGGAGGCAGCAGUAGGGAAUCUUCCGCAAUGGACGAAAGUCUGACGGAGCAACGCCGCGUGAGUGAUGAAGGUUUUCGGAUCGUAAAGCUCUGUUGUUAGGGAAGAACAAGUGCCGUUCAAAUAGGGCGGCACCUUGACGGUACCUAACCAGAAAGCCACGGCUAACUACGUGCCAGCAGCCGCGGUAAUACGUAGGUGGCAAGCGUUGUCCGGAAUUAUUGGGCGUAAAGGGCUCGCAGGCGGUUUCUUAAGUCUGAUGUGAAAGCCCCCGGCUCAACCGGGGAGGGUCAUUGGAAACUGGGGAACUUGAGUGCAGAAGAGGAGAGUGGAAUUCCACGUGUAGCGGUGAAAUGCGUAGAGAUGUGGAGGAACACCAGUGGCGAAGGCGACUCUCUGGUCUGUAACUGACGCUGAGGAGCGAAAGCGUGGGGAGCGAACAGGAUUAGAUACCCUGGUAGUCCACGCCGUAAACGAUGAGUGCUAAGUGUUAGGGGGUUUCCGCCCCUUAGUGCUGCAGCUAACGCAUUAAGCACUCCGCCUGGGGAGUACGGUCGCAAGACUGAAACUCAAAGGAAUUGACGGGGGCCCGCACAAGCGGUGGAGCAUGUGGUUUAAUUCGAAGCAACGCGAAGAACCUUACCAGGUCUUGACAUCCUCUGACAAUCCUAGAGAUAGGACGUCCCCUUCGGGGGCAGAGUGACAGGUGGUGCAUGGUUGUCGUCAGCUCGUGUCGUGAGAUGUUGGGUUAAGUCCCGCAACGAGCGCAACCCUUGAUCUUAGUUGCCAGCAUUCAGUUGGGCACUCUAAGGUGACUGCCGGUGACAAACCGGAGGAAGGUGGGGAUGACGUCAAAUCAUCAUGCCCCUUAUGACCUGGGCUACACACGUGCUACAAUGGGCAGAACAAAGGGCAGCGAAACCGCGAGGUUAAGCCAAUCCCACAAAUCUGUUCUCAGUUCGGAUCGCAGUCUGCAACUCGACUGCGUGAAGCUGGAAUCGCUAGUAAUCGCGGAUCAGCAUGCCGCGGUGAAUACGUCGGGCCUUGUACACACCGCCCGUCACACCACGAGAGUUUGUAACACCCGAAGUCGGUGAGGUAACCUUUUUGGAGCCAGCCGCCGAAGGUGGGACAGAUGAUUGGGG